rnacentral:rRNA from 1 species
GAACAACUUACCGAAAGGUGAGCUAAUGCCGGAUGAGUUAUAUAAGUGCAUGUUUAUAUAGGAAAAGUUGGGGAGACCUGACGCUGAAAGAUGGACUCGCGUCCCAUUAGCUAGUUGGUAGGGUAAUGGCCUACCAAGGCGACGAUGGGUAGCCGGCCUGAGAGGGUGGCCGGCCACACUGGGACUGAGACACGGCCCAGACUCCUACGGGAGGCAGCAGUGGGGAAUUUUGCGCAAUGCUCGUAAGAGUGACGCAGCGACGCCGCGUGAAUGACGAAGGCCUUCGGGUCGUAAAGUUCUUUCGACAGGGAAGAAAAUGCCUAUAAGUAACUGUGUAUGUAUUGACGGUACCUGUAUAAGCAGCCCCGGCUAACUCCGUGCCAGCAGCCGCGGUAAUACGGAGGGGGCGAGCGUUGUUCGGAGUGACUGGGCGUAAAGAGCACGUAGGCGGUGUUGUAAGUCAUUAGUCAAAGACUAGAGCUCAACUUUAGUAAGGCUAGUGAUACUAUAAUACUAGAGUAUCAGAGAGGAUUGCAGAAUUCCUGGUGUAGCGGUGAAAUGCGUAGAUAUCAGGAGGAAUACCGUUAGCGAAGGCGGCAAUCUGGCUGGAAACUGACGCUGAGGUGCGAAAGCGUGGGUAGCAAACAGGAUUAGAUACCCUGGUAGUCCACGCUGUAAACGAUGGAUGCUAGGUGU